CAGCCGCCACGGUAAUACGAAGGGGGCUAGCGUUGCUCGGAAUGACUGGGCGUAAAGGGCGCGUAGGCGGAUUGUUUAGUUAGGCGUGAAAUUCCUGGGCUUAACCUGGGGACUGCGCUUAAUACAGGCAGUCUAGAGUGAGGAAGAGGGUUGUGGAAUUUCCGGUGUAGCGGUGAAAUGCGUAGAUAUCGGAAGGAACACCAGUGGCGAAGGCGGCUACCUGGACUGACACUGACACUGAGGCGCGAAAGCGUGGGGAGCAAACAGGAUUAGAUACCCGUGUAGUCCCUGUCUCUUAUAC
rnacentral:rRNA from 1 species